CGCAACGGUGAUGAGCCUUUUGCAGACCUGUAAUGAUUUGCGAAUAUGAUCGCAAUAUCAUACGAACAUCUAAGGGACUGAGUUGCU